AGUGAACGCUGGCGGUAGGCCUAACACAUGCAAGUCGAACGGCAGCACAGUAAGAGCUUGCUCUUACGGGUGGCGAGUGGCGGACGGGUGAGGAAUACAUCGGAAUCUACUUUUUCGUGGGGGAUAACGUAGGGAAACUUACGCUAAUACCGCAUACGACCUACGGGUGAAAGCAGGGGAUCUUCGGCCCUUGCGCGAUUGUAUGAGCCGAUGUCGGAUUAGCUAGUUGGCGGGGUAAAGGCCCACCAAGGCGACGAUCCGUAGCUGGUCUGAGAGGAUGAUCAGCCACACUGGAACUGAGACACGGUCCAGACUCCUACGGGAGGCAGCAGUGGGGAAUAUUGGACAAUGGGCGCAAGCCUGAUCCAGCCAUACCGCGUGGGUGAAGAAGGCCUUCGGGUUGUAAAGCCCUUUUGUUGGGAAAGAAAAGCAGCAGGUUAAUACCCCGCUGUUCUGACGGUACCAAAAGAAUAAGCACCGGCUAACUUCGUG
rnacentral:rRNA from 1 species